GAAAUGCGAUAAGUAGUGUGAAUUGCAGAAUUCAGUGAAUCAUCGAAUCUUUGAACGCACAUUGCGCCCUUUGGUAUUCCUUAGGGCAUGCCUGUUCGAGCGUCAUCUAAACCUUCAAGCCCUGCUUGGUGUCGGGUGCCUGUCCCGCCUCCGCGCGCGGACUCACCUCAAAUCCAUUGGCGGCCCCCGCGUCGGCCACGAGCGCAGCAGAAACGCGAACUCGUGAGCCCGUCCGGGCGGCUCCCAGAAGCUACACCCACCCAGUUUGACCUCGGAUCAGGUAGGGAUACCCGCUGAACUUAAGC
rnacentral:misc_RNA from 1 species